rnacentral:tRNA from 1 species
GGACCGUUAGCUCAGGUGGUAGAGCAACUGACUCUUAAUCAGUGGGUCUAGGGUUCGAGUCCCUAACGGUCCACCA